UGGCUCAGGAUGAACGCUAGCUACAGGCUUAACACAUGCAAGUCGGAGGGGAAACGAUAUUGGGAAGCUUGCGUUCCGAUAGGCGUCGACCGGCGCACGGGUGAGUAACGCGUAUCCAACCUCGCCCAUCACGUUGGGAAUAACCUUGCGAAAGUAAGACUAAUGCCCAAUGACAUUUAUAGAAGGCAUCUGAAAUGAAUUAAAGAUUUAUCGGUGAUGGAUGGGGAUGCGUCUGAUUAGCUUGUUGGCGGGGUAACGGCCCACCAAGGCGACGAUCAGUAGGGGUUCUGAGAGGAAGGUCCCCCACAUUGGAACUGAGACACGGUCCAAACUCCUACGGGAGGCAGCAGUGAGGAAUAUUGGUCAAUGGGUGAGAGCCUGAACCAGCCAAGUAGCGUGCAGGACGACGGCCCUAUGGGUUGUAAACUGCUUUUAUAAGGGAAUAAAGUGGGUCACGUGUGACUUUUUGCAUGUACCUUAUGAAUAAGGACCGGCUAAUUCCGUG
rnacentral:rRNA from 1 species